AUUAUAUCCUUGACCGGCCACCCUUUCUUCCCCUUCCUCUCUCUUUUCUCUCAUCUCCAUCAAACCCCAUCGUACUGAAAUAUUUAUGUUGUCUCUCUUCCAACCACGAAUGCCACUGAGAUUUCCUUUUUUGUCAAUCAAUUUGAAUCCCAAACCCUAAAAUCCUAGACCAAAGAAAAAAGAACUAAUAUAAUCAUUUCACCUUCUACUCGUUCAAAUAACUACAUGCAACUAUAGAUUCAUGAGAAUCUUGACUAUAUUAUGAUGAUUCUUGAUCCAGAGAUCAAACACAGUGACCUCUGGACAUCGGUUUUGACUGAUGGUCUAUUUGGCUCUAACAGCCAAUUUUCUUCACCAUUUCAUACCAAGAGUUUGACCACAGUGAGUUGAUUGUGAGAUUGAGUUCUUAAAAGGCUACAAAUUAUCCUUACUUGGUUUACUGCUCCGAAGAAGAUCUAGGUACGUCUUCACGUGCUGUCUUCAGGAGACUUCAAGGUAUACUGCUCAGCGUCCGCAGGCUUCGGAGUCACCUUCCAUUAUAUUUCCAUUUUUUUGUUCUCUUAUUUGGAUACUGUUGUAAUAGACAUUCUAGAUUAUCCUAUAGAUCUUAUAACUUAGUUCCACUGGUUUUUGGAAAUAUGUUGUUGAGAUCCUAUUUUGGAGGUUUAUAUGAGUUUAACUAUUUUACUUUAGUA